rnacentral:lncRNA from 1 species
CUCUCUUUAACUAGCUUUCUUUAUACAUUUUGCCAAUUCUAGAUAGAAAUAUGGGGGAUUGAUUUUAUAAAAAGAGACUAGUACACUCAUCCUCACAAAAAAUACACUCAACAGAAAAUAAAAAUACGCACAUCAGAUCUCUAUUUCUCCUAUAUACGCACGCAUACUGUGAUACUCCUGAAAAUCUGGUCACCCUUCAUCUCACUAGAAAACCCACGACUCAUAGGAAACCAUAACACACUUAGAUUAAGAGGGGUGGAGGAGAAAGCAGAGGGAACGAACUCAGGUGAGACACACCUGAAACCAGCCAAUUCGUCCACUGUCGGAGUAACGACGACCCAACAAUAACCAGCGAACUCCCCAAUGACCAAACCCCACUGAAUCAUCACCGAAAAUAAAUCAACUUCUCAGCCAAUAAAGGGGAAUCGAGAGCUUCGAUUUGGUCAUUUGGGUGUUCAUGUUCGGGAUGGUGUUCAAGGUUUGAUGCAGAUAUUGGGUUAAAGCAUAUAGAGAGAGGAAAUCGAGUUUGGGUUAUUAGUUGAGGCUUCGAUUUUGAGAUUCCUUUUGUGAAUCUAUUCCGAAGGAUAAUUUCAUUUCGAAAUAAAGUACCAAUCUCAACUUUACUCUCUUUAUUAUGUUAAUAUGGUUGAUGUUUUGAUGUGGUGAUAUGUUUUUAUAUUGUGUUCGAGCAUUUUUUAUUACUGUGGUUGAUAUUGGUUAAUUGAUUCAUUUGAAUAGAAUAAUUGAAGGAUUUGAAUUCGUUUGGGAGCUAGCGGGGUAGGAAUUAAAAAUAAUAAAAAAAUGGGUGAAUAAAUCAAUUUCGGUGUAAUAUCAUUUAGUUUGGAAUAAGCAUGGAUGUUAUUGAAACACGGUAGUAUCAUGUUUAGGUCGACAGUUUGUAGGAAAAUAUAAGUUGGUUAGGCAAAGUUUAUGACUUGCGAUUGUUGAAUGAUGAAAGUGUUUUGUUGAAAUGUGUUGGUUCAUGUUUUCGGUUUGAAAUGUGUUUAUUUGGCCGGGUAAUGGCCCGAGGAUUGAUGUAUUUAUUCUCCGGGGAAUGCCCCAACGUAUAAUGUUGGGAAGGAGGAUCGUGAUCAAGGCCCGAGGCAUCGGGUAAAGCGUGGGAGCAUAGUUAGGAUUAGUAUAGGUUAAAUAGGAUUUACAUUUUUUGUAGUUUUCUAUUUUUGGAUUGUAUAAUCCGGACUGGACAUUAUCUUGGUUUUGAAUUUUAUUUCGAUUUGUUUGUUUGCUUAUUUUGUGCGUUUAUGUGGUCUAUACAUUUAAUAGUGUCAAAUUCGCCGAUACGCUCUACCAAGCAACUGUGGUCGAACCACGGGACCAAGGGGUGCCUAACACCUUCUCCUCGAUCAACAGAAUUCCUUAGUCGGAAUCUCUGUUCGCGGAUCAGUUUUAAAGAGUCAAAUUUGUUUUGAAAAAGGUUAUCCAAAGGUGACUUGGCACACCCGAUUUAUGCCAAGUGGAGACUCUGAGUUUUGAAUAUAAAAAGUUCUUUUCGAAACAAAUCUCCUCUUUUGUCACUUUAAUAAUAAAAAUCCUUUCGAAACUUAAAAUCUAAUCUUUUUUUGGUAAAAAAAAAGGUAUGAUAGAUUCCAAGCUGAUAUUUUCUCACUGGCUUCAUGGGUUUUGUUUUGGGAUCAGGUUUUGAAGAUUGUCGUGUUGGAGUUAGUUCGUAGUCGAGUUGUGGUAUUCUUCGAGGCUGACUCGAGGUUCUUCAUCAUGUGGAGUCGUCUUCUCGAUUGACUGAUAUUUGAAAUAAAAUCAUCAUUGAGGUCCAUUUCUACUCCUUUCCUCUUUUUUUAUUUCAUUACUGAUGGAAUAUGGUGCAUUUGAUGGAAUCUCUUGUGUUGUUUGAUCUUGAUUGGUGAUUAAUUGCUACUUUGAUAUUGACUUGGCACACCGGAUUAUGCCAAGUGACGACUCUGAUUUUUAUUGUUA